rnacentral:rRNA from 1 species
GCACAACGCGAAGAACCUUACCAGGCCUUGACAUGCAGAGAACUUUCCAGAGAUGGAUAGGUGCCUUCGGGAACUCUGACACAGGUGCUGCAUGGCUGUCGUCAGCUCGCGUCGUGAGAUGUUGGGUUAAGUCCCGUAACGAGCGCAACCCUUGUCCUUAGUUACCAGCACGUUAAGGUGGGCACUCUAAGGAGACUGCCGGUGACAAACCGGAGGAAGGUGGGGAUGACGUCAAGUCAUCAUGGCCCUUACGGCCUGGGCUACACACGUGCUACAAUGGUCGGUACAGAGGGUUGCCAAGCCGCGAGGUGGAGCUAAUCUCACAAAACCGAUCGUAGUCCGGAUCGCAGUCUGCAACUCGACUGCGUGAAGUCGGAAUCGCUAGUAAUCGCGAAUCAGAAUGUCACGGUGAAUACGUUCCCGGGUCUUGUACACACCG